ACGCGACCCCAGUUCAAGCGGGGCUACCCGCUGAGUUUAAGCAUAUCAAUAAGCGGAGGAAAAGA
rnacentral:rRNA from 1 species